AGCGAACGCUGGCGGCAGGCCUAAUACAUGCAAGUCGAACGGUAACAGGCCGCAGGGUGCUGACGAGUGGCGAACGGGUGAGUAAUGCAUCGGAACGUGCCCAGUCGUGGGGGAUAACGCAGCGAAAGCUGUGCUAAUACCGCAUACGAUCUGUGGAUGAAAGCGGGGGACCUUCGGGCCUCGCGCGAUUGGAGUGGCCGAUGUCAGAUUAGGUAGUUGGUGGGGUAAAGGCUCACCAAGCCGACGAUCUGUAGCUGGUCUGAGAGGACGACCAGCCACACUGGGACUGAGACACGGCCCAGACUCCUACGGGAGGCAGCAGUGGGGAAUUUUGGACAAUGGGCGCAAGCCUGAUCCAGCAAUGCCGCGUGCAGGAAGAAGGCCUUCGGGUUGUAAACUGCUUUUGUACGGAGCGAAAAGGCUCCCUCUAAUACAGGGGGCUCAUGACGGUACCGUAAGAAUAAGCACCGGCUAACUUCGUGCCAGCCGCCGCCGUAACAC
rnacentral:rRNA from 1 species